rnacentral:rRNA from 1 species
UGGGGAAUAUUGGGCAAUGGGCGGGAGCCUGAACCAGCCAAGCCGCGUGAAGGAAGAAGGCGCUAAGCGUCGUAAACAUCUUUUGUCGGGGAACAAAGGUCCGGACGUGUCCGGAUGAGAGUGUACCCGAAGAAAAAGCAUCGGCUAACUCCGUGCCAGCAGCCGCGGUAAUACGGAGGAUGCGAGCGUUAUCCGGAUUUAUUGGGUUUAAAGGGUGCGUAGGCGGUCUGUUAAGUCAGCGGUAAAAGCCCGGGGCUCAACCCGGCGAGCCGUUGAAACUGGCGGACUAGAGAGGGCGAGAAGUACGCGGAAUGCGCAGUGUAGCGGUGAAAUGCAUAGAUAUUGCGCAGAACUCCGAUUGCGAAGGCAGCGUACCGGCGCCUUUCUGACGCUGAGGCACGAAAGCGUGGGUAUCGAACAGGAUUAGAUACC